GUCUACGGCCAUACCACCCUGAAUGCACCCAAUCUCUGUCUGAUCUCAGAAGCUAAGAAGGGUGAGGCUUGGUUAGUACUCGGAUGGGAGACCGCCUGGGACUACUGGGUGCUGUAGGCU
rnacentral:rRNA from 1 species